rnacentral:rRNA from 1 species
GAUGAACGCUGGCGGCGUGCCUAAUACAUGCAAGUCGAGCGAACAGAUGAGGAGCUUUCUCCUCUGCCGUUAGCGGCGGACGGGUGAGUAACACGUGGAUAACCUCCAUAUAAGACUGGGAUAACUUCGGGAAACCGGAGCUAAUCCCGGAUAAUAUAUUGAACCGUCUGGUUCAAUUGUGAAAGACGGUUUUGCUGACACUUAUAGAUGGUUCCGCGCCGCAUUAGCUAGUUGGUAAGGUAACGGCUUACCAAGGCAACGAUGCGUAGCCGACCUGAGAGGGUGAUCAGCCACACUGGAACGGAGACGCGGUCCAGACUCCUACGGGAGGCAGCAGUAGGGAAUCUUCCACAAGGGGCGAAAGGCUGGCGGGGCAACGCCGCGUGGGUGAUAAAGGGCAUCGGAUCGUAAUACUCUGUUAUUAGGGAAGAACAAAUGUGUAAGUAACGAUGCACGUCUUGACGGUACCUAAUCAGAAAGCCACGGCUAACUACGUG